GAGCCUGGUCCUAGGUGAAGUGAGAGGAGUUGGCUGCUGACCCUCAACACAUGAAGUCAAAGGGAACCAUUGUACACCCAGAGCUGGUGGUGUCGUCUUCAGUGACUAGGAGCUCCAAGAAGCAACCUGACCUCUAUUAGACCCAACAGCUAGUAGGUGGCAGAGCUGCAAUGAAUGUGACAUCCACCGGACUCCAAGCCCGGCACUGAAGGUAGCCCUUGUGGCCAGGAGCUGCUCCCCAGCCCUGCCCUCAACUCUAGUGGCACCAAACUCUUCCCCGCAAGGCACUGCCCAAUUGUCAUGUAUUCGGUUUUUAUCAGCUUAUAGUCUUCCUCACAAUGGAUAAAAGUGCUUCCCAACACUUCAUACUGCUGUUCUUUAAAAUUUCUGCCAAUCUGAGGGGUCUCUUCCCCUGGGAGUGGACCGAGCAUGUUGGCAGGGCCGAUGCGUGAUGGCCUGCAUCUCAGCCCGCCAGGGGGGAAACCAGAGUUGGCCCAGCAAGGUCGCGGCAGGUGGUAAGGAGCUGUCUGCUCCCCAGGAUCCUCAGGGAAAAAUGCAGACAGAACUUCACCUCGGGAAGGCUGAUUUCCAAGCUGACCUGUUUACGAUGGCAACAGCCACGGAGCAUCUGCGGCCAUCUCCUCCUGGAACUCAUCAAUGCCGGUCUCCCUGGAAAGAAGGAGAAGCCCAGGUCACCUGGGCAGGUGCGAUGAUGGGUCCCAGGUCGAGCCUCCUGUCUCAGCAGCUCUGUCAUCUCAGGACCCCCUCUGGAGCUUUUUCACUUGCUUGCAGCCACCCUGAGCUGCUUUUUCUUAAAUCAGCUCCGCCUCACAGAGGGUUGGAGCCUGCCUGCAUCUCAGGGGCUCUGGCUGCCUCCUGUGGAGUAUGAAAAAUGCCUGUUUGCUGUCUGUCUCAUUGCCUUUAAAUCUACUUUAUGCACAACAUCUAGGUGGGCAUGUUUGCAGGCUCGGCAAAGCCAUUACUUUUCUUGGUGACAUUUUCUGGAAAUGGCUUGCAUUUAUCAUGAGGAACUGAGGACAGCCCUUGCCUACAUUGGGAACCACGCGGCCCACUUCCCAAUCGUCAUCUGUGUCUGUCUGUCCCGCAAACCCACCUGCACUCAGACCAGGGCUGGAGCUCAGGUGUGCCCUGGUCAAACUGUAAGUACAUGUGAACCAAUAUCUGGGAUCUUGCUAAACUGCAGAGUCUGGCCUAGCCAGUGUGGCUCAGUGGUUGAGUGUCAACCUAUGAACCUAGAGAUCACGGUUCAACUCCCAGUCAG